rnacentral:tRNA from 1 species
UGGCUUAGAGGGUAAAGUGUCUGCCUACAGUGCAGGAGACCCAGGUUCACUCCCUGG